rnacentral:rRNA from 1 species
GAUGUAGGCGGCUCUUCAAGUCAGAUGUAAAAUCUUCCGGCUCAACUGGAAGGGAACAUUUGAUACUGCUGGGCUGGAGUGCAGCAGAAGGAGAUGGAAUUCCCGGUGUAGUGGUGAAGUGCGUAGAUAUCAGGAGGAACACCGGUGGCGAAGGCGGCUUUCUGGCUCUAUACUGACGCUGAGACGCGAAAGCGUGGGGAGCAAACAGGAUUAGAUACCCUGGUAGUCC